rnacentral:lncRNA from 10 species
AGACACACGAAGGCCAAGUGGAGGCUGUAGUUCAUGUUGAGAAGCUGCUCACACCAAGGGGCUGAAGUAGGAAUCACCUGGGAAACAGGGGGCAAGGGCCUCACUCUGUCAUCCAGGCUGAAGUGCAGGGACAUGAUCUCGGUUCACUGCAGCUCAACUUCCCAGGCUCCAGCGAUGCUCCCAACCUUAGCCUCCUGAGUAGCUGGGACUACAGGCAUGUACCACCACACCUGGACGCAGCCUGCCUGCACCCAGGUGAAAUAAACAGCCAUGUUGCUCACACAAAGCCUGUUUGGUGGUCUCUUCACACGGACAUGCAUGAAAUUUGGUGCCGUGACUCGGAUCGGGGGACCUCCCUUGGGAGAUCAAUCCCCUGUCCUCCUGCUCUUUGCUCCGUGAAAAAGAUCCACCUAUGACCUCAGGUCCUCAGACCCACCAGCCCAAGGAACAGCUCACCAAUUUUAAAUAGGGUAAGUGGCCUCUUCUUACUCUCUUCUCCAACCUCUCUCACUGUCCCUCAACCACUUUCUCCUUUCCACUCUUCAAUCUCUCCCUUCUCUUAAUUUCAAUUCCU